CAUGGCUCAUCUAGAGGGUGAGAUAAUGAGUGAUGUUGAAGAACUGAUAACGAGAGAGAGACGAUGAAGCUCCUCAAAACCAGAUGGUAAACACACUCACAUACUGUACACAUCCCGCUGCUGAACUACAUCAUGCACAUGUUUUUAUCAGUCCGCUGUCAUACUUUAGAUACACUUUUUUUCUAGUUCUUUGGAAAUCAUCUAUGAUCUGGUGGUGACCUGAAGAACAAAGGACAUUAUUCAUUUCCAAACAUCCAUAUCAGAGCCAAAAAUCAUUCUUGAUAUGAAGAAGGCUCUCUCAAACCUAAAGAACAAUAGACGUAGCGUUAUUUUAGGAGUGUUUGUGAUGUUUUUUUUUCCAUACUGUGCUUACAAGACCAACGAAUGAAGGCAUUUCAUAACAUGUUUAGACACAGAUCGGCUCUCUGUGAAGCAGUUUACAUGAGCAACACCUCUGCCCAGAGCAACACGCACACAAUAAUGUCCUGCUUUCAUCUGUCUGUUCCUGUUCGGAUAGUUUUUGGUGUCAGUUUAAUAUUUAGGGUUGCUAUAAAUUAUUCACUGGUUGUUUAAGUCGUGAAAAAUGAAACACUGUGACAUUGUUGCAGUGCUGACAAUUGCUUUAAUGAAAAGUAGCUAAAACCUGCUUGAAAAGUCACUAGAUAAUGUCAUGUGCUAAUUAGCAUAUUCAUGACACCAUCAUGUUGAAUCAACCCUUUGCAUUCAUAAUCCUUUUAUGCAGCCUAUAUUUUUACAGCUUAAGUCCCAAUAAAACUGUUCUCAUUUACAUUUUUUUUUUAUAUAUAUAUUUUUGUAGUCAGACAGCAUGAUCCUAAGGGGCUGUUCACACAGAACAUGUCCCUGCGUCUAAAAACAAUGACAUAGAAAACAAUGGAAAACUAGCUCAUUGGAAUGGAAAAACACAUUCGGUGUGAAUGUAUUCGGUUUAGUGACUAAAAUUCCGAAAUUGGCACCACAACAUUAAUCUGUUUGUUUGAGUGACAACUUCUGAAUUAACCAAUGGAGUGAUUUUGGGGGCGGGGCUAUCUAGUGGAAGUCAGACAUGAGCUGGAGGAGUGUUUGGGAAAACCUGUUUGAAAACAAUUAUUAUUUUUCAUAUUUUUCUGUGUUUUUGCUACUGAUAAAUUAGUCAGACAUUUAAAGGAAUAUUCCAUGUCACAUGGGUUUUUGAGUCAUAAUUAGUGCCAAUAGCAUCCAUGGAUACACACUUUAAGGAUCGUUUUCAAUGUACUAUGAUCUGAGACACUAUACUUGUAAACUUUCAUACUAUUUACACCAUAUAGUAUGUGAACCGGAAACCAAAAUCAAUCCAUGAGCUGGUUCAAAAGUGUCUCAAAUCAUAUUCCUUUAAAUGUCUGACUGCUUUAUCUGUAGAGCAGAUGCUGCUGAGCACCUUUUUAACUUGACUUUUGUCCGUAUUUAACUGUUGUGUUUCUUUAUGAAAAAGUUUUGAACGUGUUGAGUUCAAUCUGAGUUUAACAAGGUUUAAGAAGGCAUAAAAUCUUAAAUCCAGCAUAAUUAUGAGCAGAUAAUCUUGGGUAAUGUUUAGUAAUUAUGCAAUAAGUGGAUCACUUGUUACACAAGGAUUGUUAGUUCUUAAUAUCUGUCUGUAGAUGUGCACUACUUACUGGAAGAGUUGAUUUAUAUAGAAAACACACUUCAAAACACUUUAAAUAUAGUGUAGAAGCCAUGUAAUAAAUAAAAACCAUUCAUGAAUGUUCUACUAAACAUAUUCUUUUGUUUUCCACAGAAAAAAGACAUUUGGGUUUGGAACAACUUGAGGUGAUUAAAUGAUUGACGAUUUUGUGUUGAAUUGUCUCUUUAAGAUACCCAUGUCAAAACCACCCACUCUGCUUUUCAUGGGUGACCCAUAAUCCCAGUUCAGUUCCUAGUGGUUCUUUUGUCUUAAAAGCGACCAGGAGGGUUCGAGGAAAGUGAUUCGCUCCUCUCUGAGCGAAGCCGUCUGAAUGUGUGCCAGCUCUUUGAGACAGAAGGAGAACAGAAAUAGACGAUCGAUGCAUCACACAUCUACGGUGACCCGCACUCAGACUUUCAAGAUUUGUUUUUGGUGGUGAGAAGGUCAUCAGAGUGUAUCCAGACAGAAAAAUGUAUGUGCUCACAUGAACACAUACGGGUGAGAUCCCACUGCUCUGAUUACGAUUCCAGUGAACUCAAACGGCUCAUUUCAGAUGACUAAUAUGAGAAGUGAAGACUCAUUUCAGUCUGAAGUCGACGCUGCCUCUCUGAUCUUGGAUGAAGGUGUGACUGUUGGUUAGUAUCAGGCGUCGAGGAGCUGCGGGAAAAUGAACGUUUUGAUGCAACGCCCUGAGAAACAGUGCGACCAGAGCUCAGGUCUGAACAGAACAAACGGUUAAAUUGAGCCAUCACCACCCAUCUCCUCUGUUUGCUUAAGUGUGUUACUGGGUUAUCUGGCCAAAGACUACUCAUCUUAUCAAACAUGCCGAGUCACCUCCCUUCAACUCUAGUGAAGACUUAUGGUUUUGGGAAAGUACAUUGUGUAAAAGCACCACAAACGAAUGUCCCUGUUUCAGUCUAAAAGGUUUGACAGUCUGAUGUCAUAGAGAAUCUCUGGAAGCUUUGAAUUCUUGAUAAGAAGGUUCUGUUAUUUUUAAGAAUGAUGAUGAUAUGUGAAUUCAGAGUAGUGUAUUAGAACACACUGCGCUGCACACUGUAUCCCAUAAUGCAAAGUGCUCAUCAUGCUUUUAGCUCAGAUUGGCUGAAUGUUUACCUAAGAUUGGACCGAAAAUGCAAAAUAAGCGAAUUUGCAACUGGAUUUUGAAUUAUAUAAGAUGAGGUCUGUGUGGCAUUCAGAAUUGAUUUCCUGUUCAAUUUCUGUUUUUGAAAUGAGAUAGCAAACAGGAUGAAGAGUUGCAAUAUGAUUUCAGUGUUUGAGGUGUCACCUACAUAAAUAAAAAAAUUCAACCCUUUAUCAAACGCCUAGCGACCACCCAAAAUGUCCAAAAAACUGCAUUGCAACAUGCUAAAACCACUUCAACACCUUAGCAACUGCUUAGCGGCCAUUUAAAACACUAAACAUUUGUGAAUCAGAACACUUGAUUUCCCAGAAUGCACUGCAUCUGUGUUAAAUUGUUUUGAGUUAUGGCGCUUUAAAGUCAUAACAGAAAGAUUGUAAAUACGAGUUGAAUGUGCUUAAACUUUUUUAUGUAAAAACG